rnacentral:rRNA from 1 species
CAGCUCUCCGAGUGGUGUGGAUGUUUAUUGGGCCUAAAGCAUCCGUAGCUGGCCAAGUUAGUCCCCUGUUAAAUCCACCGAAUUAAUCGUUGGUGUGCGGGGGAUACUGCUCGGCUAGGGGACGAGAGAGGCAGAUGGUAUUCCCGGGGUAGGGGUGAAAUCCUAUAAUCCCGGGAGGACCACCAGUGGCGAAGGCUGUCUGCUAGAACGCGCCCGACGGUGAGGGAUGAAAGCUGGGGGAGCGAACCGGAUUAGAUACCCGAGUAGUCC